rnacentral:snRNA from 1 species
UUUACAUAAGUGAUAUGAUGUU